rnacentral:rRNA from 1 species
GUGUCAGCAGCCGCGGUAAUACGUAGGCAGCAAGCGUUGUUCGGAAUUACUGGGCGUAAAGAGUGCGUAGGCGGUUUGGCAAGUUUGGUGUGAAAUCUCCCGGCUUAACUGGGAGGGUGCGCCGAAAACUGGAAAGCUAGAGUACUGGAUGGGAGAGUGGAAUUCCUGGUGUAGCGGUGAAAUGCGUAGAUAUCAGGAGGAACACCUGUGGUGUAGACGGCUCUCUGGACAGUCACUGACGCUGAGAAACGAAAGCGUGGGUAGCAAACAGGAUUAGAAACCCGGGUAGUCC